rfam:Gaeumannomyces graminis var. tritici R3-111a-1 unplaced genomic scaffold supercont2.3, whole genome shotgun sequence.
GGCAAGUUGUCCGAGAGGUUAUGGAGUAGGAUUUAGGCUCCUAUGGUUCACACCGCGUGGGUUCGAAUCCCACACUUGUCA